CCUACGGGAGGCAGCAGUGAGGAAUAUUGGACAAUGGACGAAAGUCUGAUCCAGCUAUGCCGCGUGCAGGAUGACGGCCCUAUGGGUUGUAAACUGCUUUUAUACAGGAAGAAAAACUCCGACGUGUCGGAACUUGACGGUACUGUAAGAAUAAGGAUCGGCUAACUCCGUGCCAGCAGCCGCGGUAAUACGGAGGAUCCAAGCGUUAUCCGGAAUCAUUGGGUUUAAAGGGUCCGUAGGCGGUUUUUUAAGUCAGAGGUGAAAUCCUGCAGCUCAACUGUAGAAUUGCCUUUGAUACUGAAAGACUUGAGUUAUUGUGAAGUGGUUAGAAUGUGUGGUGUAGCGGUGAAAUGCAUAGAUAUCACACAGAAUACCAAUUGCGAAGGCAGAUCACUAACAAUAUACUGACGCUCAGGGACGAAAGCG
rnacentral:rRNA from 1 species